rnacentral:rRNA from 1 species
UACGUAGGUGACAAGCGUUGUCCGGAUUUACUGGGCGUAAAGAGCGCGCAGGCGGUCGUUCAAGUCGAGUGUGAAAGCCCCCGGCUCAACUGGGGAGGGUCAUUCGAUACUGAUCGACUCGAAGGCAGGAGAGGGAAGUGGAAUUCCCGGUGUAGUGGUGAAAUGCGUAGAUAUCAUAAGGAAGACCAGUGGCGAAGGCGGGUCUCUGGACAGUUCCUGACGCUGAGGCACGAAGGCCAGGGGAGCAAACGGG